rnacentral:lncRNA from 1 species
UUUUUUUUUUUUCUUUAAAUGGCUGCACCCACGGCAUAUGGAAGUUCCUGGGGUCAGGGAUUGAAUCCAAGCCACAGGGGGGUGACCUAUGGCGCACCUGCGGCAACACUGUAUCCUUUAACCCACUGUGCCAAGCCAAUCAGUGGGAUGCAGUUGUCCCAAACCAUGCCUCUGCAGAUGCAGCGACCUGAGAAAUUGCAAGUCCAAUUCUGAGGAUCUUAACCCACUGCACCACAGAGGGAACUCCACGGAGGACCCUUUAGAUUUAAAUCUAAUGUGAUGAUUCUCCAAGUGUGGUCUCAGGACCUACAGCAAUGAGCAUCCCCUGGGAAUUGUUAGAAAUGCAAAUUCUCAGCCUGAAGUCAUCCUGCUAAAUCAGAACCUCUGGGGGCGGGGCCCAGAAUAGUGUUUCAACAAGCUCUCCUCCAGGCGAUCCAGAUCUUUGCUCAAGUUUGGGAACCACUGAUCUCAUCCACCUAUCUUGAGGCUGGGGUGAAAUCAGUCAUGGGUCAAUUAAACUGUUUUAUUGUCUGUAAUUAUCCCUAUAAAGAGCACAAAACUAGCUCCAAGAAGGAGUCUGGUCUAUUAAGAGUUUCCAGUCAUGUUGGGGAAAUUCACACACUUGAAAUUAACAGAAAACUAACAGGCCAAUACAUAAUUACAUGUAUGCUAUCAAACGGCACCAAAGGUUAUUCAAGAGCAGGGACCACUUUCCUUAAAUUUGAUCUAUUUCAGAUAUGAUUCAAGAUCUGCCUUACAAAUAUAUAAUUAAUAUUGAUGGGAAGGUGGGAUGUUCUUGUUAAGGAAAGAAAGUGGCUGAAGUCUUUCUUCCUGGACCCCAAGAAUUGGAUUAGAGGAACAUUUAAUCUCACCAUGCUUUGUUUUCCCCAUCACAGACAAUGAUGGCUCCACAGUCCUUCUCAGUAAACCAUGCUAGUAUUUUACCACCGUGAAAGUUACGAGUUUUUUUAUGCUCAGCUAAAAUCUGUUCUCAUUGACCGGAAAGAAAGAAAAAAAGCUCUUCACAGCUAAUUCGUAAGUGACACGGAGGGUGAAAUGGGAAAGUGUUCAGUAAAGUUUGAAACGUUACAUGGAAGGUAGAUCUCUGUUAUUACUGUAAUUAUUAUCAUUGUUUGAUUUAAAGAGUUGCACUGCUUCUGGAUGAGAGGCUUAAUGAUUUUGUUGAUUCUAAAAUGACAAUAUGAGAGGGGAAGGUUCACAUUCAGUUUAAAAUUUUUAAAAAAUCUAUUUUUUUAUUCCUUCCGUAGAUGUGUCUGAAAAGGUACAACAGACAAAUCAAAAGCCCCAGGCUUCCUUUUCAAUCUUCAGAUGAUAUUUUUUUUUUAAGUCGCUGAAAUGACAUAAAAUCAAAUCCCUUUGAAAGGUGGAUGGCCUCACAUACAAUUCCAAAGACCUCAUCCUAAAACUUAAAAAAAGGAAUAAUUCACUCAUUUUUGAUGGCCAUUAAUUCAUUUAAGUUACAAAAGUACCAUUUAGUAAAUUACCUUUUCCAGGGAGCCCGGUGACCUCAGGAGGGCCUGAAAGUGUUAAAUCACCUUCAAAGAGCGGUCAGUUUACCCUCUAAUCACUGAUAACAUGAGUCCAAAUAGCCUCAAAUUUCUUUAGUGCUGGAUUCUGAUCAACAAAAAGCACUUCUAUAGGCACUAUUAACUUCCCCCUUCACACCAUGGUGAGGGUGGGAAAGGGGAGCCCGUGAGAAAGAUUUUAGAAUUUCCCCAGGAGGGUAAAGGAAUAUCACAGCUUUCAAAAUUUUUAAUUAUAAAUUCAUGCAAUAAUUGCAAAGCAAUAUUAUCAAAUGUCAUUGCGGGGGGUGGGGGCAUGUUUUAGGAUGCUAAGGAAGACAUCUAGCCUACUAACUUCUUGACUCCAAUUUAUGUUUUCAGGCUUACUGGGGAGUAUAUGGUAUUAGUAUGUAUGAAUAUAUGUAUGUAUGUGUGUAUGUAUGUAUUUUGGCUUUUAUUUUUUGCACUAGCAGCAUAUGGAAGUUCCAGGCUAGGGGGUCAUAGUGGAGCUACAGCUGCUGGCUUAUGUCACAGCCACAGCAAUGUGGGAUCUGUGACCUCCAUCACAGCUCAUGGCAAGGCCAGAUCCCCGACCCACAGAGCAAAGCCAGGGAUUGAACCCACAUCCUCACGUAUACCAGUCAGAUUCAUUUCCGAUGCACCGCAACGGGAACUCCCGGUAUUAAAAUUUAGAUUUGGGUCUGGGGGGGAAGCUUUCUGAAUUUUUUUUCAGACAGUUGUGGGAGGUCAACAUCCUUGUUCAUGAGGAGUCUGCGGGGGGCAGGUGUCCGAGCUGGACCAGGAAAGGUGAGGCAUCCGCUGUGGCAUCUGGAUGUAGCAAGGUCAGGGUGACGUCUUCACCUCUUCAUGCAGCCUUCACUGGGGCUGCGAUUGGGCGCUCUUACCCCCAGGUCAUAAAUUAAGUCCAGUCCACAAGCUACCUUAUCAUUUUCAAUAAACUGAUGACUAAAAGCUUCCCCAGGAGUCAUAGUUCAUCAUUAAAAAUACACAUCAGAUACGACGAACCUAUAAUUGGAAACCCACAGGUAGAGGAACUACAUAGAGAUUUCACACCGUCAGGCAAAAGGUGGUUCCUCCUUCAGUUCUUCCCAGAUGUUUCUCCAGUUUUCAGUUUCAUGGAUGGCUUGUUAUGUACUCAUCGGACAAAUUUCAAGGAAAAGCUCUAACCCUCAAUGGGGAGGGAUGCUAAAAGACCCCAUAAAGGAGAUAAAGUAAAAGAUAAUGACUUCACAUGUGAAAAGGAAGAGAAAUUUUUUCUCACCAUCAACUAAAACAGAAUUUACUUACUGAGAAGGUUAUUAAUCCAUUUGACUGACCAAGUGGGUCUUUCACUUUUGGUUAAGACUUAGCACUUGGGGGAGUUCCUGUUGUGGCUCAGUGAAAAUGAAUCCAACUAGUAACCAUGAGGUUUCAGGGAUCAGGUUUGAUCCCUGGCCUCACUUAGUGGGUUGGGCAUCUGGUGCUGCUGUGAGCUGUAGUGUAGGUCCACAGAUGCAGCUCAGAUCCUGCGUUGCUGUGGCUGUGGUAUAGGCUGGCAGCUGCAGCUCCAAUUUGACCCCGAGCCAGGGAACUUCCAAAUGCCAUGGGUAUGACCCUAAAAAAAAAAAAAAAAAAAAAAAAAGGAAAAGAAAGAGACAUAUGACACUUGGGACACAAGGAUCAGAAGGCCAGGCAACAAUACAGAGCAGACUGUGCAUGAGUCAAGGGUUAGGAGGGCCCAGAAGAAAGAUUAAAUUUUGUCUCCUCCUCUUCCCCUAUCAGACCCCUCCUCCUUCUGAAACUGGAGGGAAGGGAGCAGGGUACAAAGUUUUAAGAAAGGACAUAGCCUUUGAGGACAGGACAAAGACUGGUUAGAACAAACAAGGUCCAAGAUGGCAGAAAAGUUGACUUACAGUGAACCUUGAGCCUCUGUUUGCUCUCAUUGUAGUACAUCAGCAUCUAAAUGACACGCCAGCAGGUACCAUGACAGCUCCAAGGCCAAAAAGUGGGCAAUGUCCCAAAUCCUGCAAAUCCCCAACCCUUCCCCAAAAUCGUUGGCAUCUCACUCAUUUAGCCUGUGAAAUUACCCAGCCCAUACAAACUCACCACCCCAUAUUUCCAGGAUGCUCUCUCACCUUCUGAAAUGGCCCACACUCUGUUUUGCAGUGUGUACCUGUCUCAAUGAAUCUACUUCUCACCUAUCACUUUGACUGCUGCUGCAUUCCUUCUGUGCUGAGAGAACCUGAACUGCAGCAAGUCCUGAAGCUGGGUGUGUGAUUACAAUUACAAGACAGUGGGUUCAAGUCCCGGUCUGAGCGUGUGCGGUUUCCGUCUCCUCAUUCUAGUUGCUGAAAAAGGGAUAUCUUGUCAAGGCAUAUUUUUUCUCUGAUACUUCAAGCACAACAGUCUCUUCUGGCCAAAUGAUGGUCCUAUCCUACAAUCAGCAGUGGUUCUAAAAGC